rnacentral:rRNA from 1 species
AUACGGAGGGGGCUAGCGUUGUUCGGAAUUACUGGGCGUAAAGCACGCGUAGGCGGUCCGCGUAGUCAGGCGUGAAAGCCCCGGGCUCAACCUGGGAACUGCGUUUGAUGCUGGCGGGCUAGAGUUCGGGAGAGGGUAGUGGAAUUCCCAGUGUAGAGGUGAAAUUCGUAGAUAUUGGGAAGAACACCAGUGGCGAAGGCGGCUACCUGGACCGACACUGACGCUGAGGUGCGAAAGCGUGGGGAGCAAACAGGAUUAGAAACCCCAGUAGUCC